rnacentral:lncRNA from 1 species
AAAAAAGUUACCAAGGGGACUGAGAACUCCAUGGAAAUAAUGUGAAAGUUAAGUCCUGCUAAGUUUUCUCACAGUAGAGGCAGAUGGAAAAGGUGGCUGGUGAAUGAGACCCAUGUCUGAUUUAGGUCGAGCAUGCCCGAUGGAGGCUCCACCUUCCACGACCAGCCUCUGACCAAGGCCUAGGAACAGGAAACCUCCUGUCUGAGGUUGGGAGAGGAAGGGAGAUGAGAACAGUUUGAAAUAAAUCCUGUGGAGACUUUCUACAAGCAGCUAUCAUAUGAGGAAAUAUCCCAAACUAUGGAAAUCUUUCUACUGAAGACUACAUGACCAGAUCAUUCCUCUCUCUACCAUGAAGCAGUCAGGGAGCCAAGACUCUCCUUGGACUGCAGGUCACCACCUCACCAUUGAUGAUUGUGGACUAGGCUACAGAGGGAUGUCCAGAGCUCAUAGUCAUGGCCCCAUCAUUGAUGAUUGUGGACUAGGCUACAGAAGGAUAGAGUUCAUAGUCAUGGCCCCAUCAUUGAUGAUUGUGGACUAGACUAUGGUAUGACCUCUUCUAUGGUUCCUACUGUCUAGUUCCCCCACGCUUCUGUGUUUCUUGGCUGUUUUCCAAGUCUGGUCCUCCAACUCUCCUGUAAUUCCAAUACAUUCCCUUUAUGUUUAAGAUAACCAUAGUCGAAUUCUGUCACUUGCCACUAAGACCACGACUAGCCAUAGAAGAGACUAGCAUCCCCUUUGCAUUUUCUUCUUUGCUAAAGCUACUGCCAACAUUCUUAUGAUGAGCUGAAUGAACACAAUUCAAAUCAUAGUUCCUAAUUGUGCAAUGUAAAUGAGACAGCAAGAAAGGUAAGGUAGGGAAUUGAAAAGUAGUUAUCCUUCUUUUAAAAUUUUUAAUUUAAAUGUGACUUCAUUCUCUGUGAAUCAGGCAUUAUGUCCCUUGCUAAAAAUGUACUGCCACACUAGUAAAUUAAAAUCUGUUCAAUAAGAUAUAUUUAUGUACACGACCGGCACCUUACAAUACUGUGAGCAUAGUUGAAAAGUGCUAUGUGCUUAGUAAAUUUAGAACUGCAUUUCCUGAAUGUCAAGGUGUUUAUUACCUGGAAAAAAGAAAGGAAAACAACUCUACAUUUCAAACACGUUCUUCAGCUUCCUUGAUGAGACAUUUGAAGGACCAUUAGUUGUCUAAAUCGAAAUUGUAUUUUAGAGAGGGGUAGAAUAUGAAAGAUUGUUCUUUAGUUUACGAUCAUAAACUUUACCCUGCAAUAAAGCUGUAAACCCAAGCAGGC